rnacentral:rRNA from 1 species
GUGCCAGCAGCCGCGGUAAUACGGAGGGGGUUAGCGUUGUUCGGAAUUACUGGGCGUAAAGCGUACGUAGGCGGAUCAGAAAGUUGGGGGUGAAAUCCCGGGGCUCAACCCCGGAACUGCCUCCAAAACUCCUGGUCUUGAGUUCGAGAGAGGUGAGUGGAAUUCCAAGUGUAGAGGUGAAAUUCGUAGAUAUUUGGAGGAACACCAGUGGCGAAGGCGGCUCACUGGCUCGAUACUGACGCUGAGGUACGAAAGUGUGGGGAGCAAACAGGAUUAGAUACCCUGGUAGUCCACACCGUAAACGAUGAAUGCCAGUCGUCGGGCAGUAUACUGUUCGGUGACACACCUAACGGAUUAAGCAUUCCGCCUGGGGAGUACGGUCGCAAGAUUAAAACUCAAAGGAAUUGACGG